ACCCGAAAGAUGGUGAACUAUG
rnacentral:ncRNA from 4 species